GGUUAAGUUAGAAAGGGCGCACGGUGGAUGCCUUGACACUAGGAGUCGAUGAAGGACGGGACUAACGCCGAUAUGCUUCGGGGAGCUGUAAGUAAGCUUUGAUCCGAAGAUUUCCGAAUGGGGAAACCCACCAUACGUAAUGGUAUGGUAUCCUUGCCUGAAUACAUAGGGUAAGGAAGACAGACCCAGGGAACUGAAACAUCUAAGUACCUGGAGGAAGAGAAAGCAAAUGC
rnacentral:rRNA from 1 species